GGGUUAAGCCUUCCUCCAAAGCCUCUAGCGGCUGUCUCAUUGACAGCCGCUAGAGGCGCUUGCGUGAUUCUCACUGUGAAAAUCACAGUGAGAGCACGCAAGCGUCCAUAGGAAAGCAUUGUAAAUGCUUUCCUAUGCGACCGGCUGAAUGCGCGGGCAGCUCUUGCCGCGCGUGCGCAUUCAGCCGAAUGGGCGGAGAGGAGGAGGAUCGGAAGAGGAG